UCUGUGCGUAAAGAUGUCAGAGGGUAAGG
rnacentral:piRNA from 1 species